rnacentral:tRNA from 1 species
UGCGAGAUGGCUGAGGUGUAGGCGGAGGAUUGUAGCUCCUUUUAGGUAAGAAUUGGUCUUUCUCUCGUAA